GGAGGCAUUUUUGCACUCCCACCCCUAGAAAAACCACAGCCGCCACCUUCUUUUUUUUUCCUGUCUCCUUCUUCCUCACGGCUGCAUCUGGGCGCGCAGCUCCUUCUCCCAUGGAUGGCGCCCAAGCCUCCUUCCCCAGCGCAGGGAGCUCGGCCCCCUUCCUCCCUCUCCUUGCCCAUGGCGUCCCUUCCCUCCAGCGCCUCCCCUUGCCCCUGUGCUCGGCGCCCCUGCAACAGCACGCGCGCAUGAGCAGGGCCUCCAUGGGCGCGAGUCCCUCUGCUCCUCCAUGGGCUCGACCUCCCCCUGCACCUCUCCUUAGCUCCCCAUGGCGCCCAGAAAAUAGCAGCUCGACUCCUCUGCUCUUCUUCCCCGUGGUCGCGAUUCUGCGCAGAGCUGCGAGCAGGAGCAUGCCAUGGCCGGAUCUGCCCCCUCCAUGGACGCCCCUUGCUGUUCCCUGCGCCUAGCUCUCUCUAUCCAGCGCGCCCCAUUUUCUUCCAUGGAAAACCAACAGCGAGCCCCCUUCCUCGCUGUCCGUCGUGGUGCCCGCCGGCUGUUCGUCAAAAUGCGCAGCCAGCCGCGCGCUGCCGGCUCGCUGUUUCGUGGAGCCCUGUGGACAGCACGCCGUCGACGCCCACCGUGUGUUCGCUGUUUUGCGCAGCCCAUCCGCGACGCCGUCGAAAACCGUGCUAGUGGUCGACGUCGUGCCUUGCCCGUUCGACGAAAUACCGAGCCAUGUGGACAGCCAUGCGUCUAGUCACGACCCGUUCAGGACCGAGAGAUGAUGAUCGAGCCAGUGAUGUGGUGCCAACCACAAGAUGCCGUGGUGGACGACCUAAAGGAUGGACAUAACCAGUGGAUGCUCGCCAAGCGAGUACCCCCCAGCAAACACUAUCUAAGUGUUAAAAUAAAGG